GUCGAGCGAGCUUGCCUAGAUGAUUUUAGUGCUUGCACUAAAUGAAACUAGAUACAAGCGAGCGGCGGACGGGUGAGUAACACGUGGGUAACCUGCCCAAGAGACUGGGAUAACACCUGGAAACAGAUGCUAAUACCGGAUAACAACACUAGACGCAUGUCUAGAGUUUGAAAGAUGGUUCUGCUAUCACUCUUGGAUGGACCUGCGGUGCAUUAGCUAGUUGGUAAGGUAACGGCUUACCAAGGCAAUGAUGCAUAGCCGAGUUGAGAGACUGAUCGGCCACAUUGGGACUGAGACACGGCCCAAACUCCUACGGGAGGCAGCAGUAGGGAAUCUUCCACAAUGGACGAAAGUCUGAUGGAGCAACGCCGCGUGAGUGAAGAAGGGUUUCGGCUCGUAAAGCUCUGUUGGUAGUGAAGAAAGAUAGAGGUAGUAACUGGCCUCUAUUUGACGGUAAUUACUUAGAAAGUCACGGCUAACUACGUGCCAGCAGCCGCGGUAAUACGUAGGUGGCAAGCGUUGUCCGGAUUUAUUGGGCGUAAAGCGAGUGCAGGCGGUUCAAUAAGUCUGAUGUGAAAGCCUUCGGCUCAACCGGAGAAUUGCAUCAGAAACUGUUGAACUUGAGUGCAGAAGAGGAGAGUGGAACUCCAUGUGUAGCGGUGGAAUGCGUAGAUAUAUGGAAG
rnacentral:rRNA from 1 species